ensembl:snoRNA SNORA70 Small nucleolar RNA SNORA70
GAGCAAAAAAUAAAUAAAAUUCUUCACUAAAAGUGAACACAGGUGUGCAGUGGCUGCAGACUGCAGCUUCCUUGGUAGUGUAUGCAGCCUGCUGCUUGUAUGAGUUACCCUAAUGGACCUUGGAGGGAGCC